GUUGAGGGGAAUGUUGUCUGGUUCGAAGUCAUUCAUAUGAAUCUUGAAUUAAUGUCUUUUGAAUGAUUUCGGACCAGGCUUCAUUCCCCCCAAC
rnacentral:pre_miRNA from 1 species